AUCCAGCUGACAAGUACUAAAUAGGACGAAACGCGCGUUCUGGAU
rfam:Schistosoma margrebowiei strain Zambia genome assembly, scaffold: SMRZ_contig0001204